rnacentral:misc_RNA from 1 species
CCAAUAGCGUAUAUUAAAGUUGUUGCAGUUAAAAAGCUCGUAGUUGAAUUUCGGGAUUGGCGCAUCGGUCGUGCCUCACGGGGUAUGAACUGGUGCAGUCAAUUUCUCACCUUCUGGAGAACCGCGAUGUCCUUAAUUGGAUGCCGCGGGGAACCAGGACCUUUACUUUGAAAAAAUUAGAGUGUUUAAAGCAGGCAUUUUUGCUUGAAUACAUUAGCAUGGAAUAAUAAAAUAGGACGGCAUGGUUCUAUUUUGUUGGUUUCUAGGACCACCGUAAUGAUUAAUAGGGAUAGUUGGGGGCAUUAGUAUUCAAUUGUCAGAGGUGAAAUUCUUGGAUUUAUUGAAGACUAACUACUGCGAAAGCAUUUGCCAAGGAUGUUUUCAUUAAUCAAGAACGAAAGUUAGGGGAUCGAAGACGAUCAGAUACCGUCGUAGUCUUAACCAUAAACUAUGCCGACUAGGAAUCAGACGAUGUUAAUUUUUUAAUGACUCGUUUGGCACCUUACGGGAACCCAAACACUUUGGUUUC